UACGAAGGGGGCUAGCGUUGCUCGGAAUGACUGGGCGUAAAGGGCGCGUAGGCGGCGGACACAGUCAGAUGUGAAAUUCCCGGGCUCAACCUGGGGGCUGCGUUUGAUACGUGCGAGCUUGAGUUCGGAAGAGGGUCGUGGAAUUCCCAGUGUAGAGGUGAAAUUCGUAGAUAUUGGGAAGAACACCGGUGGCGAAGGCGGCGACCUGGUCCGAUACUGACGCUGAGGCGCGAAAGCGUGGGGAGCAAACAGG
rnacentral:rRNA from 1 species